GGCUCAGGAUGAACGCUAGCGGCAGGCUUAAUACAUGCAAGUCGUGGGGCAGCAUGAGUAGCAAUACUGAUGGCGACCGGCAAACGGGUGAGGAACACGUACACAACCUUCCUUCAAGCGGGGAAUAGCCCAGAGAAAUUUGGAUUAAUACCCCAUAAUAUAUUUGAUAAGGCAUCUUAUUAAUAUUAAAGCUUCGGCACUUGAUGAUGGGUGUGCGGCUGAUUAGAUAGUUGGCGGGGUAACGGCCCACCAAGUCUACGAUCAGUAGCUGAUGUGAGAGCAUGAUCAGCCACACGGGCACUGAGACACGGGCCCGACUCCUACGGGAGGCAGCAGUAAGGAAUAUUGGACAAUGGACGAAAGUCUGAUCCAGCCAUGCCGCGUGAAGGAUUAAGGUCCUCUGGAUUGUAAACUUCUUUUAUAUGGGACGAAAAAAGGGCAUUCUUGUUCACUUGACGGUACCAUAUGAAUAAGCACCGGCUAACUCCGUG
rnacentral:rRNA from 1 species